AGACCGCUCAAAACUCAAUAAAUUCUAUCCAACACUAGGAAUAACAGACUUCACUCCAACCAAUUUGAAUUCACAGAAUUCUUGUACUCAUAGACUUCCUCUGUCAAAACACACAUACACAACUCUCAAUAAACAACAAUCAUAAUCUUCCAUCCAUAAUCAAUCUUCCAAUAACUUUCAUAUAAUUCAAUCACUCAGUACUCCAAUUACAUAAUCAAUAACUCAUAAAUCAAUCUCUGAUUUAUUCACAAAUUCACUUCUCAU
rnacentral:lncRNA from 1 species